rnacentral:rRNA from 1 species
GUGCCAGCAGCCGCGGUAAUACGGGGGGGGCAAGCGUUGUUCGGAAUUACUGGGCGUAAAGGGCUUGUAGGUGGCCAACUAAGUCAGACGUGAAAUCCCUCGGCUUAACCGGGGAACUGCGUCUGAUACUGGAUGGCUUGAGUGUGGGAGAGGGAUGCGGAAUUCCAGGUGUAGCGGUGAAAUGCGUAGAUAUCUGGAGGAACACCGGUGGCGAAGGCGGCAUCCUGGACCAUUACUGACACUGAAAAGCGAAAGCCAGGGGAGCAAACGGGAUUAGAUACCCCUGUAGUCC